UACAGAGGUCUCAAGCGUUGUUCGGAUUCAUUGGGCGUAAAGCGCGCGCAGGUGGUUUCUUAAGUCUGAUGUGAAAGCCCACGGCUCAACCGUGGAGGGUCAUUGGAAACUGGGGAACUUGAGGUGCAGGAGGAGAAGAGUGGAAUUCCACGUGUAGCGGUGAAAUGCGUAGAGAUGUGGAGGAACACCAGUGGCGAAGGCGACG
rnacentral:rRNA from 1 species